rnacentral:rRNA from 1 species
CAGCAGCCACGGGAAUACGUAGGUGGCAAGCGUUGUCCGGAUUUACUGGGCGUAAAGGGCGCGUAGGCGGGCUGAUAAGUAAGGGGUGAAAUCCCAAGGCUCAACCUUGGAACUGCCUUUGAUACUGUUUGUCUUGAGUUCGAGAGAGGUAAGUGGAACUGCGAGUGUAGAGGUGAAAUUCGUAGAUAUUCGCAAGAACACCAGUGGCGAAGGCGGCUUACUGGCUCGAAACUGACGCUGAGGCGCGAAAGCGUGGGGAGCAAACAGGAUUAGAUACCCCUGUAGUCCCUGUCUCUUAUAC